CGUAGGUGGCGAGCGUUGUCCGGAAUUAUUGGGCGUAAAGGGCGCGUAGGCGGUCAUUUAAGUCAGGUGUGAAAGCCCCCGGCUCAACUGGGGAGGGUCACUUGAUACUGAAUGGCUAGAGUGCGGGAGAGGGAAGUGGAAUUCCAUGUGUAGCGGUGAAAUGCGUAGAUAUAUGGAGGAACACCAGUGGCGAAGGCGGCUUCCUGGACCGUAACUGACGCUGAGGCGCGAAAGCUGGGGGAGUGAACGGGAUUAGAUACCCCGGUAAUCCCAGCCGUAAACGAUGGAUGCUAGGUGUAGAGGGUAUCGACCCCUUCUGUGCCGCAGUUAACACAAUAAGCAUCCCGCCUGGGGAGUACGGCCGCAAGGUUG
rnacentral:rRNA from 1 species